GACGAACGCUGGCGGCGUGCUUAACACAUGCAAGUCGAACGGUGAAGCUCCAGCUUGCUGGAGUGGAUCAGUGGCGAACGGGUGAGUAACACGUGAGCAACCUGCCCCUGACUCUGGAAUAAGCGCUGGAAACGGCGUCUAAUACUGGAUACGAGAAGGGUCCGCAUGGGCACUUUCUGGAAAGUUUUUCGGUUGGGGAUGGGCUCGCGGCCUAUCAGCUUGUUGGUGAGGUAAUGGCUCACCAAGGCUACGACGGGUAGCCGGCCUGAGAGGGCGACCGGCCACACUGGGACUGAGACACGGCCCAGACUCCUACGGGAGGCAGCAGUGGGGAAUAUUGCACAAUGGGCGAAAGCCUGAUGCAGCGACGCCGCGUGAGGGAUGACGGCCUUCGGGUUGUAAACCUCUUUCAGCAGGGAAGAAGCGAAAGUGACGGUACCUGCAGAAGAAGCACCGGCUAACUACGUG
rnacentral:rRNA from 1 species